rnacentral:pre_miRNA from 1 species
ACAACAUUCGGACCGUCGGUCUACCGAGCAAUAUCACCCGCUCGGUGGAAGAACUUUCCUUUCAUCGU